rnacentral:rRNA from 1 species
UACGAAGGGGGCUAGCGUUGCUCGGAAUCACUGGGCGUAAAGCGCGCGUAGGCGGCUUUUUAAGUCAGGGGUGAAAUCCUGGAGCUCAACUCCAGAACUGCCUUUGAUACUGAAGAUCUUGAGUUCGGGAGAGGUGAGUGGAACUGCGAGUGUAGAGGUGAAAUUCGUAGAUAUUCGCAAGAACACCAGUGGCGAAGGCGGCUCACUGGCCCGAUACUGACGCUGAUGCACGAAAGCGUGGGGAGCAAACAGG